rnacentral:rRNA from 1 species
CAAUAGCGUAUAUUAAAGGUGUUGCAGUUAAAAAGCUCGUAGUUGGAUUUCUGGUUGAAGCGACCGGUCGGGCGUUGAUUCGUCUGCACUGGAGUCGGUUUUGGCCAUCCUCUAGGAAAGUGCGUCUGGUAUUAAGUUAUCGGGCGUAUGAUCCUGGUCUUUUACUGUGAAAAAAUUAGAGUGUUUAAAGCAGGCCUUCGCCUUGAAUACAUUAGCAUGGAAUAAUAAGAUAGGACUUUGGUCUAUUUUGUUGGUUUGCAGACCGAAGUAAUGAUUAAUAGGGAUAGUUGGGGGUAUUUAUAUUCCGAUGUCAGAGGUGAAAUUCUUAGAUUUUCGGAAGAUAAACUUAUGCGAAAGCAUUUACCAAGGAUGUUUUCAUUAA